AUCAUUUAUCUCUCUAUCUCUCCCUGUAUCUCUCAUUCAAACUCUCACCUUCCCUUACUACCACCAACGCCAAGACCAGGACACCACCAUCCUCCUCACUGGCUCUCUAUUAUCAUCUCUUUCUUCUCAUGCCGUCUUGAACACAGAUCAAAUGAAACACAAGCGGGCUGUCGCCAUUUCCAUCAAACUCGAGCCACCACCAUUUGCCAUUUUCUCUGGCGAGUUCCUCGAUCACAACACCUUGGUCACGCAUCCCCCCUCUGUGAGUUCUACGAACCCAGGAACAAAGGAAAACGCUUCCAAAUCUCCUCCCUCACCUUACUAUGCAGUGGCAUCGUGACCACCCUUAUCUCUAGCGAAUCUCACCGUUCACGGCUUAGGUAAGCCUAGGGACUUCCUCGAUCAUUCCCUUCUCGUUGCCCUGAGUCCAUUUCUGAAGCUACGUGCAUGUUUUGAUGGUAUUCAAGUGCAAAAAAACCUAGGGGAAGAUUUUCCAGAAAACUGGUGAAGGAAAAACCGUGGCCACCAAGCCAGGCCAUUUUCCGGCCAACACUAACCCUAACUCGGCCCCACUGUGGUGAAGCACAUCGCAAGGACCCUUGAUGUCCGCGAGGCGGGUUUGACUCGACUACAUGAGUUGUAAGUGGGUAUUUUCUUUUAUAUAGUAUAUAUAUUUGUCUAGUUUCCAUAUAUACAUCUAACAAAGAAUUUUCUAUGUGAUGCCGUAAUUAAAUUAACGUUUAUAGGAAAUGACGUAAUGAUGAGAAUUAGGAAAUCAUUAUAAAUCCUAUGGGAUGUCUUAAUUAGAUUUACGACUAUGAAUAGUAUUAUGUUGAUUAGAGUUAUCGAAUCACUGUGGCAUGACUAUAUUACGUUAACUGUUCAUUGUGUGCUACACUGGUGUCAGUACUCGCCCGAGCCAGGGCCAAGCUUCACGUGUAUGUUCACAUCGCACCGUACGCUCACUUUGGAUCCAUUGUAGGUACCAGUCCUAUCCCAGAUUGCUAUAGACAAUUAGGACUCAUAUGUGUUAUGCAUAGCACCAAUCUUCAUGUGAUUGUAGUACUAGAGCAUAAAUCAUUAUUACACUCGGUCUUGUUCAUGUCAGAAUACCUCUGCAUGAACUCAUGUGUCAGCAUGUGUCUAAAGCACUCGAUGUGAAUGUUUAUUUUUGCGAGAUAUAGUAAUUACUGGAAGUUAUAUGCUUAUUUACAAAUUUUUGUGAAGUAUUGCAUUUUUGAGAUAUUGCUAGUUACGGUAAGUAUUUUCAUAUAAUACGUAGUAUGUUAUAUUUGGAAACUAUAUUUGUUUUACGGUGAGAGGUUAUAUGUUUUCGAAAAGGUUUGUACAAAGCUUUAUUUUUAGGCCCACUCACCCUCAUUUUUUGCCCCUCCAGGUUUUAAUAGCUGAGUUUUCAUGUUAACGAGGAUUCUUGACAAAUCUCGGUAUAGGUGAUUACCUUCAAUGGUAUAAUUCUUAUCCUACCUUUACUGUACUUUGCUUAUGUUCUGGCAUCACGUGUGAAUUGGGUUAAUUCUCGCUCACAUGCACACUCUUAUAUUUAGGCACUUUUAGGUUAGGUUUAAAUUUAUUCACAUUUUCUAUCUCACUACACUUUAUGGUUUCAUCACCUUCCUGGUAUCAGCUAGCACAGCUCAAUUCGGAGUCUAGGUGGACAUUCAAGGUCGAAGUGCGUCAAAUACAUGUAUGAAAAACAAAAACAAAAACAAAAACAAAAACAAAAACAAAAAAAAAAGCGCACGGAAAUUAUUUACAAAAUAUGUUUGAAGAUCAAUAGUAAAAAAAAAAAAUACAAUCUAUUGAAAAAAAAAGAGAAAGAAGAAAAAGAAUACUAUCUAACCCAUGUUCAAAUUCCUUGCUCGUAUGCUCCUCUUCCCAUUGCUUUACAAUACACCAUGCAUAUGAAGCAAGGGAUAUUAUUUAUUUAGAAAAAUAGUUCCUUAUUACUCUUGAUAGCCAAGCAAGAGACAUCCUAGACUCUAAGAUGUGAAUCAAAGACAUGUUUUUGUCCAAGUAAGAGAAUAUAAUUUUCUCCAUGAAAUUUGACUAGCGGAGAGCCAUUUAGAUGUGAAAGAAAAGAAUAUGCAAAUUUUCUUUUUCCGACCAAGGCAUGUAUUUUACAUCCCGCCUAUUGGAGAGCUUUCGGCCACUCAAAAAUAUAAAAUGACUGUUUUAAUGCCUUUUGCAUCUCACACUAGAGAUCCUCUAAGAAGUGAGGCUACGACUCAUAUUGCAAACGGAGUUUUAUGGGAACACAAGUUCCCUUCGUGAUUGAGAGCCUGAGACACUUACAAUGCUACAAUAUGUUUCCUUUUUUAGAAGAUGACUUUGAACCCGUCCAACAAUUUGAGAGUGGUCUAGAUUUUAUAUCGAUUGGACUACCAUAAAACUUUUACGUUGACAAUUAUCAAGGAGUUUGUAGCUUAAAUGGUUUAAGAGAAGAAAAAUACGUGAAAGUAAGUGCUUUGCAUGACAACUAACUCUUGGUCUCAUCAUUCUUCUCUUCCUCAAAUUAAAUCUCAGAUUCAAAUUCCCUGCCUCAUUCGUUGCUUCAUUGCUCCAUUUGGUCUAUAACAUUAGUAGCCAUGACAGUAAAAUGCCCGAAACCGGUAUUCAAGUGGCAAAAAUAGGAGAAAACAUAUGCCACAGUUCAAAAGCAAAAAGAAAAAAGCAAUACAAAACACUCCAUUCAACAUUCAAAUGUUCAAAAUAAACCGCAUUCACAAGAAUGUUUUUCUUUUGAUACAACAUUCUCAAGGACAUGAUAAUAAAAGCAAUAUUAACAAAGAUACAAGUUUUGGUGUUUCACAGUUAAGAUAGGUCAUUGAUAAGUUUAAGACCUUCAAUUUUAAUCAUACAUUUAAAAAAAAAAAUUAAUUGUAACUAGUACUCCAUCAAGGAUGGAACUCAAAGCCUCACUUUUCAUAACCAUGACAUCACAUUAGUGUCUGGUUAUGUUAAUGUAUCAGUUGAGUCUCCAGUAGCCAUGUAGCAGCAGCUCCUGUAUAGUGAACGCGGAACAAAGCAAAUCCGCUUUUGAUCGAAAAUCAUAGAACUUGGUUGGAAUCGAAACACUGU